GAGUCAAAAUCCAUCAACCCAACUUAUAUCGGUUGACCCAGCACGUGAGUUGUUUGUGCUUCGAACCUCAUCACCUCAUCAUCACCAGAGUCCACACACCGAGCGCUCGUCACAGCAGAGAACCUGACAGCUCAUCCAGCGAGGCCAAUACAUAAUAAAAGGUAUGUGUACACUACAUGUCUAAUUCACUUUGUCUGUGUUGCAUUACCAAUUAAAGUAGUACCUUUAUAUUGUCAAGGCUAGUUGGUUGGUUUGGCUAACGAUGUAGCUAACGUUAGCCAUUAUCAUAGAAGCACGAAUAGCAGCUUAUCCGUUUGGUCUGAAUUAUAUUAAUGAAUUAAUUAAACAAGUUCAUAAUGCCCAUGGGCAUAUAGUCAUGUUUAUUGAAUUCGACAGGCUAAUUUGCCAGCUAGUUUCAUGCUAGCCAGGUGAUUCGCCAGUUAGUUCCUUUGCUAGCUAUAUUAUUUUAACUGGCUAUAAACGAACGCGCUUGUUUUUCCUGAAGCUUUUAAUGUGACAUGUGAAGGCAUAACACAGUGUUUGACUGAUUAAAAUAUGUAAAAACAGUGAGAUAAUUUGAUCUGUCUUGUUAUGUGGUGACCCACAAUAGAUAAGAACAAAUUCUUAUUUAAAAUUGGCGGCCUGGCCACUUGAGUGAAGGGUUGAUGUGACACCCCAAAGUAUGUGCACAUUUUGUGUAAAGGUGUUAUACUUUAAGCAAAAGUUUCUUUUUAUUCAUGUGAACUGUAAGAGAUUUGGGACUUGAAAGUAAAUCAGUACAGGGUUAGAAUAGUCUGUUGUGGUGAGAAACCAUGACUCUUAUUUUGAAAACUGAAUGAUAGGACUCUGAUAUAGCCGCUGUGUGCGCGCCCGCGCCCUUACAUCUGCUGAGCAACUGGUGCGACGUGACGCGGAUUUUUCCUGUUAUUUUGCAGAUCAAUGGACAAGCUUUGUCAUUAAUACUGACAGACCUUGUCGAAAGAUUUAAAGCCUGGAAUAAACAUGGUGGAGUACCUCCAUGAGGCCAAGGCAUGCAAGCCGUACCCCCACAUCCUGACGCUGGGAAAUGAUCAGAGUGCAUUUCAGGCCUUCGUCAUAAUAGCUGGACAGGCCCUGGAACAAGAAACACUGCUUUGGGCCACUGAUGUCUGCUUCAAGGCAUUCUUUGUCUUUGACAUUGAAUACCCAAAGCAGUGUGAACGUGUGGUAAUUCAUACAGAAUGUGAUAUAUGAAAUCCCAGGAGGGGAGUCUAAAAUGGUUGAGUUUAUUCAAACUAGAAUACUUGCUUGCAAGUAGAGCUAAUGGCUCUUAAAAGCAGCAUUUAGGAAUUUAAAUUUGUUCACUAUAGAGCUGCUGACUGUUGGCCUGUUGAAUGUUCAGCCAGUUCAAUCGAAAUUGUUGUUUUGCUCUGAAUGUUUUCCAACCUGCAGUUCCACUGUAUUGU